rnacentral:rRNA from 1 species
GGAGUCCAGCUGUAACGAUGCGGGCUAGGUGUUGGGGUGGCUACGAGCCGCUCCAGUGCCGCAGGGAAGCCGUUAAGCCCGCCGCCUGGGGAGUACGGUCGCAAGGCUGAAACUUAAAGGAAUUGGCGGGGGAGCACCACAAGGGGUGAAGCUUGCGGUUCAAUUGGAGUCAACGCCGGAAAUCUUACCGGGGGCGACAGCAGAAUGAAGGCCAGAUUGAAGGUCUUGCCGGACAAGCUGAGAGGAGGUGCAUGGCCGUCGCCAGUUCGUGCCGUGAGGUGUCCUGUUAAGUCAGGCAACGAUCGAGACCCGCAUCCCUUGUUGCCACCG